ensembl:lncRNA
CAAGAAAGCCCCUUAUAGGUACAACAAGUCCAACAAGAAAUGGCACAAGGACAAGGUCUUGUCCUAUAAGAAGGACUAUUGGUAUAAGCCUCAGAAGCAGCUUGACUACUGAACAGCCGUUCGGCCCCCAGGAACUCGACUUCCAGCCCCCGAGGCGCAGGCACAGGGCCGGGGGUAAGAACCGCGGACAGGGCUGGAGGCAGCAGCCGGCGCCUCGCCUGCCGCUCAGCCCUUAUAUCUCUAACUACAUCCUUCCCCACCCACGGACCUACCAACCCCUGCCCCCGCCCAAACCAAUAACCCCACCCAGGAGAGGGAGGCGACCCCCGUACUACUAUCAACAAGUCACGCCGGGAGAUGACUACGAGGAAGAUGGUCUGGUGCCUCAGUUGGACAGUGAGGAGGAGCUGGAAAACUUUAUUGAG